rnacentral:rRNA from 1 species
GAGGCAGCAGUGGGGAAUAUUGCGCAAUGGGCGAAAGCCUGACGCAGCGACGCCGCGUGAGGGAUGAAGGCCUUCGGGUUGUAAACCUCUUUCAGCAGGGAAGAAGCGAAAGUGACGGUACCUGCAGAAGAAGCACCGGCUAACUAUGUGCCAGCAGCCGCGGUAAUACAUAGGGUGCAAGCGUUGUCCGGAAUUAUUGGGCGUAAAGAGCUCGUAGGUGGUUUGUCACGUCGGAUGUGAAAAUCUGGGGCUCAACCCCGGACCUGCAUUCGAUACGGGCAAACUAGAGUAUGGUAGGGGAGACUGGAAUUCCU